rnacentral:misc_RNA from 1 species
AAGUCGUAACAAGGUCUCCGUAGGUGAACCUGCGGAGGGAUCAUUACAGAGUUCAUGCCCUCACGGGUAGAUCUCCCACCCUUGCGUAUUCAUACCUUUGUUGCUUUGGCAGGCCGCCUGGGCUCGUGCCUGCCAGAGGAUCUCCAAACUCCAGUUAUCAGUGUUGUCUGAGUCUUAUACAAUCGUUAAAACUUUCAACAACGGAUCUCUUGGUUCUG